rnacentral:rRNA from 1 species
UGCCUCACACAGGGGGAUAACAGUUAGAAAUGACUGCUAAUACCGCAUAAGACCACGAAACCGCAUGGUUUUGAGGUAAAAACUCCGGUGGUGUGAGAUGGGCCCGCGUCUGAUUAGGUAGUUGGUGCGGUAACGGCGCACCAAGCCGACGAUCAGUAGCCGACCUGAGAGGGUGACCGGCCACAUUGGGACUGAGACACGGCCCAAACUCCUACGGGAGGCAGCAGUGGGGAAUAUUGCACAAUGGGGGAAACCCUGAUGCAGCGACGCCGCGUGAAGGAUGAAGUAUUUCGGUAUGUAAACUUCUAUCAGCAGGGAAGAAAAUGACGGUACCUGACUAAGAAGCCCCGGCUAACUACGUGCCAGCAGCCGCGGUAAUACGUAGGGGGCAAGCGUUAUCCGGAUUUACUGGGUGUAAAGGGAGCGUAGACGGCAUUGCAAGUCUGGAGUGAAAACCCGGGGCUCAACCCCGGGAUUGCUUUGGAAACUGUGGAGCUAGAGUACCGGAGAGGCAAGUGGAAUUCCUAGUGUAGCGGUGAAAUGCGUAGAUAUUAGGAGGAACACCAGUGGCGAAG